rnacentral:rRNA from 1 species
AUUGAACGCUGGCGGCAUGCUUUACACAUGCAAGUCGAACGGUAACAGGCCUUCGGGUGCUGACGAGUGGCGAACGGGUGAGUAAUGCAUCGGAACGUGCCCAGUCGUGGGGGAUAACGCAGCGAAAGCUGUGCUAAUACCGCAUACGAUCUGUGGAUGAAAGCGGGGGACAUUUGGGCCUCGCGCGAUUGGAGCGGCCGAUGUCAGAUUAGGUAGUUGGUGGGGUAAAGGCUCACCAAGCCAACGAUCUGUAGCUGGUCUGAGAGGACGACCAGCCACACUGGGACUGAGACACGGCCCAGACUCCUACGGGAGGCAGCAGUGGGGAAUUUUGGACAAUGGGGGAAACCCUGAUCCAGCAAUGCCGCGUGCAGGAAGAAGGCCUUCGGGUUGUAAACUGCUUUUGUACGGAGCGAAAAGGCUUCCUCUAAUACAGGGGGCUCAUGACGGUACCGUAAGAAUAAGCACCGGCUAACUACGUGCCAGCCGCCGCGGUAAAAC